rnacentral:rRNA from 1 species
GACGAACGCUGGCGGCGUGCCUAAUACAUGCAAGUCGAACGCAGUGGGGACGGGUGAGUAACACGUGGGUAACCUCCCAUCAGAGGGGAUAACACUUGGAAACAGGUGCUAAACAGAUCCUGAUGGAUGGACCCGCGGUGCAUUAGCUAGUUGGUGGGGUAACGGCUCACCAGGGCCCCGAUGCAUAGAGGACCUGAGAGGGGGAUCGACAAAACUGGAACUGGAACAGGGCCAAGACUCCUACGGGAGGCAGCAGUAGGGAAUCUUCGGAAAUGGACGAAAGUCGGACCGAGCAACGCCGCGUGAGUGAAGAGGGUUUUCGGAUCGUAAAACUCUGUUGUUAGAGAAGCGGUAUCUAACCAGAAACCCACGGCUAACCACGUGCCAGCAGCCGCGGUAAUC